GUUGGCGGGGUAACGGCCCACCAAAGCCACGAUCAGUAGCCGACCUGAGAGGGUGACCGGCCACAUUGGGACUGAGACGCGGCCCAAACUCCUACGGGAGGCAGCAGUGGGGAAUAUUGCACAAUGGGCGCAAGCCUGAUGCAGCGACGCCGCGUGAGUGAAGAAGUAUCUCGGUAUGUAAAGCUCUAUCAGCAGGGAAGAAAAUGACGGUACCUGACUAAGAAGCCCCGGCUAACUACGUGCCAGCAGCCGCGGUAAUACGUAGGGGGCAAGCGUUAUCCGGAUUUACUGGGUGUAAAGGGAGCGUAGACGGCGACGCAAGUCUGGAGUGAAAGCCCGGGGCCCAACCCCGGGACUGCUUUGGAAACUGUGUUGCUGGAGUGCAGGAGAGGUAAGUGGAAUUCCUAGUGUAGCGGUGAAAUGCGUAGAUAUUAGGAGGAACACCAGUGGCGAAGGCGGCUUACUGGACUGUAACUGACGUUGAGGCUCGAAAGCGUGGGGAGCAAACAGGAUUAGAUACCCUGGUACUCCACGCCGUAAACGAUGAAUGCUAGGUGUCGGGGGGCAAAGCCCUUCGGUGCCGC
rnacentral:rRNA from 1 species